rnacentral:rRNA from 1 species
GACGAACCGUGCGAACGUUGUUCGGAUUCACUGGGCUUAAAGGGCGCGUAGGCGGGCGGUCAAGUCGGGGGUGAAAUCUUUCCGCUUAACGGGAAGCGUGCCUCCGAUACUGGCCGCCUCGAGGGAGGUAGGGGCAUGUGGAACUUCCGGUGGAGCGGUGAAAUGCGUAGAUAUCGGAAGGAACGCCGGUGGCGAAAGCGACGUGCUGGACCUCUUCUGACGCUGAGGCGCGAAAGCUAGGGGAGCAAACGGG